rnacentral:rRNA from 1 species
GACGAACCGAGCGAACGUUGUUCGGAAUAACUGGGCUUAAAGGGCGCGUAGGCGGGCCGCCAAGUCCGAGGUGAAAUCCUCCGGCUCAACCGGAGAACUGCCUCGGAUACUGGAGGCCUGGAGGGGGGUAGGGGCGUGCGGAACUGUGGGUGGAGCGGUGAAAUGCGUUGAUAUCCACAGGAACUCCGGUGGCGAAGGCGGCAGCGCUGGACCCCACCUGACGCUGAGGCGCGAAAGCCAGGGAGCGAACGG